rnacentral:lncRNA from 1 species
AAAAGAAAAAAAAGUUAUUUCGACCGAGGACCGAGGACUAAGCUACCGAAAGGGAAGCCGACAACUUCGCACAAGUCUCUAAGAAUUUCGGGGGACAUCAACGCCCUCUUGUGACGAGAGAGAGAGACACGUGACCUGCAAGAGAGAUUCAAGGGGGAUACGUGGCCGAAGUUCAACACAGGUGGAAUGGAGUGACAGCUGUUCACGUCAAGAUGAACGGAAGGAAUAGCAAGGGUCAGCUGAUGAUAAAG